CGAAGGGCCGCCUUGCCCAAACUCAUCGGGGUGUCUGGCUACUAGGUCAGAAGAGGGGGGAUGGUGUUGUGAACAGCCAGCAAUCCCGGCCCUGCCUGAGUCCCACACCCCAGAUAGAGCUGGGGUGAGGGAGGUGAUCCCGUAAUAUUCUCAGCUGGGUGCAUUUGUGGCUGCCUGUGACACGACCUCACUCAUUGGGAAACCAUGCACACUAGCACACUGUUAUUUUAUUUUUGAGACAGGGUCUUGCUCUGUUGCCUAGGCUGGAGUGCAGUGGCGCAAUCACAGCUAACUGCAGCCUCGACCUCUUGGGCUCAAGCGAUUCUUCCUGCACCACCACACUUCAGCUAAUUUUUUUUGUUUGUUUUUUUCAUAGAGAUGGUUGAACUCCUCGCCUUGGUCUUGGGACUACAGGUGCAAGCCACAGAGCGCCUGGCCUAGCACAAUAGUUUAUAUUAUACUACUCCCACCAUAAUGGUGCAAUAGAUGUGAAUAAAACUCAAAAGCAUAGACAAGGCCAGGCGCGGUGGCUCAUGCCUGUAAUGCCAGCACUUUGGAAGGCCAAGCUGGAUCACAUGAGGUCAGGAGUUUGAGACCAGCCUGGCCAACAUGGUGAAACCCCGUCUCUACCAAAAAUACAAAAAUUAGCCAGGUGUGGUGGCACACAUCUGUAAUCCCAGCUACUUGAGAGGCUGAGGCAGGAGAAUCACGUGAACCGGGAGGCAGAGGUUGCAGUGAGCCGAGAUCGAACCACUGCACUCCAGCCUGGAUGACAGAGCAAGACUCUGUCUCAAAAAAAAAAAAAAAAAAAAAAAAGAUAGACAAUAGUUCGAUGUAACGAAAUAAUUACAAAGUGAUGAGUUUGUAGUAUUUAUUGCCCAUUUUAAACCGAAUUUAUUUAAUUAUAAGUUUACUUAGUUUAAAAUUUAAUAGUGGCUGUGUUUAACCAUCGACCUGUGAAAUUCCUGCAAAUGCAACCAUCAGUGGGUACUGGCCGGCUCAGCUCACUCCUGGCGGAAGGGCAUGGAGAGGCCUGCAGAGGCCGUGCCUUGAGCUUGUCUGGAACCUCCACCCUGUGCAGGAAGGAGGGUGAGCAAUGGGUGGGUGCUGGGAGAAUGCUGGGAGGGCCUGAGGGCACUGGGGGGUGCUAGGCAGAGGCACCCUUCCCUGCCCCCACUUGCCUCAGCCCUUGCCUCAUGAAGUUCCAUGCUGCCUCUGGAGGGGUGAGGCUGGGAGGGGAAGGUAUGGUGGGGUGGGAGAAGCCCUGGUCCCCCACCCGCAGAAGAGAAGCAGGAGCCCUCGAUGAUCACAGCCCUGGGACACAGUGCCUCAGCUAAGGGUCAGGUACAUGCCGCUCUGGAGGACAGGCUGUACCCUUCGGAGACGCAUUGCAUUGGCAGCUGGUCUAGGAUGCCGGUCAGUCUGCAGUAAGGAGCUGCAAGGAAAAGACCUCCAGGAGAGGAGCCCUUUGGGGAUGGUGCCCCAGCCCACCCAUGUCCAGCGAGUGGGCAGGGCAGGUGGGGCUGCGGACCCCAGGCUCAAGAGCUUCUCACCGGCCGUCUUCGGAGGAGAAGCCAGCCCUGCCUCACCCCAGGACUACGCACUCCUGCCCACUGUGCAAAUGUGAUGAAGCCUGCAGCAGCUGCAGCCAGGAACUGACGGGUCGGGCCAGUGCCCCAUUCGCCUGGGACAGCUGGGCUCCCACCCCAGGCUCCCUGCUCCCACCAGGGACUUCCCACAGCAAGGACCACCUUCCUCCUCUGAGCCAGCCAGGCGGCCACUGGCCCAGUCUGGCUGGGGACAGGGCCCUGGGUGGUCUCUGUCCCCACCCUGCCCGUUCCUUCUCUCGGGCUGAGCCCAGUGCUGGGGUCAAGGAUGGGGAAUGGGUGCUCUUGAACUGCUGACUCACUGAUCCCAAUCAACAGGAGUCUGCAGGGGAAAGGUGAGCCCUUCCCACCUGGGGAAGGCAUGUCUUACUCUCCAAGCAGGCGUUUCGUGGCACCAGGCAGAUGCUUGGGCAUUUGCCAUAGUGUAACUAUUCAGAACAGUUGCUCUCAGUUGAACAAAUAUUUCCAGAACAUCCACUGAGGGGCAGGCCAGGUGAUGGGGCCAGGAUGAGUAAAACACCAUUCUCCAUCUCUGAGACCACACGAUCUGGCAGGCUAGACAGGGCUGAACACACCUUGGGUAUCAUGCGUGAGGACCACAGGACGGGAGAGGUCCUGAGCCAGCACCAGGCGCAUGGGUUAGGGUCCAGCCAUCAGCUGGAAGGGUCUCCUGUGGAGGUAAUAACAGGGGCUUGAAGAGUGAGCCGAGGGGGCUGGCACUAGCAAUGCCAGAGCAAUGAGGGGCAGGCCGUGGGGAGAGGGACGCAGUUCAUCCUGCCAAGAGUGAGUUGCAAAGCAGGGGCCAGGGUAGAUGUGGGGGAGUUGUGGGCAAGGUGGGCCAGGACCUUGGGGAGCAGCCACAGUCCUGUGGGGGCGCUGUCUGGGAGCCCUUGGUGAGGGCAGAGCUGAGCAGCAGCAGGGCUUGCAGAAGAGACCUGGAGGGCGAUGUCAUAGGAGCCUGGG